AGAGUUUGAUCAUGGCUCAGAGUGAACGCUGGCGGUAGGCCUAACACAUGCAAGUCGAACGGCAGCACAGGAGAGCUUGCUCUCUGGGUGGCGAGUGGCGGACGGGUGAGGAAUACAUCGGAAUCUACUCUGUCGUGGGGGAUAACGUAGGGAAACUUACGCUAAUACCGCAUACGACCUACGGGUGAAAGUGGGGGACCGCAAGGCCUCACGCGAUUGAAUGAGCCGAUGUCGGAUUAGCUAGUUGGCGGGGUAAAGGCCCACCAAGGCGACGAUCCGUAGCUGGUCUGAGAGGAUGAUCAGCCACACUGGAACUGAGACACGGUCCAGACUCCUACGGGAGGCAGCAGUGGGGAAUAUUGGACAAUGGGCGCAAGCCUGAUCCAGCCAUACCGCGUGAGUGAAGAAGGCCCUCGGGUUGUAAAGCUCUUUCGCAAGGGAAGAAAACUUAUCCUCUAACAUAGGAUGAGGUUGACGGUACCUUGAUAAGAAGCACCGGCUAACUACGUGCCAGCAGCCGCGGUAAUAC
rnacentral:rRNA from 1 species